rnacentral:lncRNA from 1 species
AUAUCUGACACCAAUAAUGCCAACCAGCAGGGAUUUCUGAAUUCCUGAACCCGUCAAACCCUUCAAAAGGUUACCUCCCAUGAUCAGCGUUAGAAGUGGGAUGGCUCCAUCCCUGCAAUCAUUUGAAUAAGUCUAAGAUGCUAUACACUCAGUGCGCGACCAAGCAGCACAUUUUGACAACUUGGUAGACACAAAUACUAUCAGAUACUAGGUUAGAAGCGGGAUGGCUCCAUCCCUGCAAUCAUUUGAACAAGUCUAAGAUGCUAUAUACUCAGUGCACGACCGAGCAUCGCAGCAUUGUGAUAACUUGGUUGACACAAAUACUAUUAGAUAUUAGCUAACAACUCCAAUCUAAAUUAGCCAUGCCCUAAAAUAUGAUCUUGUGCCAUAUCCAGUAUACUUUACUAUCUGCAGCUAGAAACCAUAUCAUAUAUGGCUCUGCCUAAGGACAUUCUAAAGCCAUUGCAUCGUAUGCA